rnacentral:lncRNA from 1 species
AACGCCUUCCCCAUUUGGAAAGUUUACAUCUUUAGUGUCAGAGCUGUGGACGCAUUGUAGGCUUUUGUUGUUAUAUUACUUAAUUUCACACUAUUUCAUGCAGUCGCUGGUGACAACGUGGAAGGACCAUGCCCUUCUCCAUCUGGUGGCAAUGUGGAAGGACCAUGCCCUUCUCCAGCCAGAGCGGCCAGUGGUGCCUUUGUUGACUGCAAGGACACCUUUCAGUGAAGAUGUUGAUGAUGACAGUGCCAGCCCUGGCUGCUUGCCACCUGGACCACAGGCCACCACAGGUAAAAUCUGUCACCACUUCCUUCUGCUCCCCAAGCAAUCCUGGCCUGGGUGACUUCUCUGAUGUGUUGGUAACAAGAGACAGCUCUUCAGGAGAGUGAUGACUCUGGGGGACGUUCCAGCACAAACAACCCUGAUGAUGAAGUGAGUGAAACACCGAGAGCUUCUUCAACGAGGUGCUGAGAAACAAGUAGGAACAUCCAACCAUCUCCAUACCCACUGGUGUUCAUGAUCUUAAAAUAUGAAGAGCUUGUGCAGCUGGAAGAUGGCAUGGGGCUGGAGGCUCUGGGCACCUGCAAUGAGUGGUGAGCGAGGAGGAGGCACCAUCGCAGGGGUGGAGGAAGGUCAGGAAUGUCCCUCCAUGCUGGGAGUCAUCAUCAGUGCUGUGUCCUGCUGUUAAUCUCCUCCUCUCUGCUCACCGUUGCUUCUGAGUAAAUUACUGCAAGGUAAACAUUCCCUUUGAACGUUAAUAGCAAAUAACCCAUGAAAAACCUCUAGUCUGAAGAAUGUUGGAAUUGGAUGAAAAUCAGUUCUGCUUUUCCAUCCACUAGCUGGCAUUUAAUUCAGGGAAGGGCACGAGUUAGUAUUUUCCCAGGCUGCUGAGGAAAAUAACUGGAAAACUGGCAUUUUGCAGUCAGGAAGUCUGAGGUUGGAUCAUAGGAGAAGCGUGCUUUUUGAUGGGAAGAUCUGAGAUAAGUCAGCCAGGGAAAUGGUGGGAAUAAAUCUUAUGAAGAGUGGUUGAAGGAGCUGGGA